UUAAGCUGAUUUAUUUUAACCGUAGCACUACUGCUUUAUUUUAGUUAUAUACCAGUAAUGGAAAAUAGUGGCCACUUUUCAUUAUUAAUCAUAAGAUAAUUCAUUGUAUUUGUCUUUCCUAAUAAAAUGGCAUUAUAUUAAGGCCCAAAAUGUUUACUAUGGCCCAGUAAAAUAUAGGGUUGUUCUGUGAGCUAUUUCUUAGGAUAGAAAAUUAUUCCAGAAAGCUAUUAGUUCAAAAGUCUCUAGCAGUGCCAAGGUUUCAAUAGUCUCUUUAAUUUUGAAUCUAUGCGAUUGAAGAUAAGACUGCAUCUAGUUUGGGGGUUGCAUGUUUGUGGACAUUCAUGUUUCUAUGUACCUGGAACUUCUUAUUCUCACCAUCACACAGAAUUUUCAAGAACUAGUUAAGCAAAGAAAGCAAAGCCCAGCAGGUGUCAGAAUUGGGUCCCCAAGCUGAGGGUCAUUAGGGUGCAUGUCAGUGUGCCAACUCCAAUAUCCACACCUAGAGAACGCACAUCUUCCCAAAAGAAAUGAAGCACAGAUGAUACUUGAUCCUCAACUUUGUCUCCAGAAAUUUUUUCAGGAACUUGAGUUCUUUAUCAAAUGCUCACAUCCUACAGAGAAAUAAAGUGUUCCAUUUUCAAGGUUCAUGAAGCUCGUCAAUGCUGGGAGCAGGCACACACUUGUAUUUUUAUACUCAGGGAUCCCAACAGGCAACUAAAACUAGACAAGGACAAAACUCCACUCAAAAUAUUCUGAAAGUUAGCUGAUGCCCCAUAUUUUAUUACUCCAAAUGUGUAUUCACUUGCCUGAGUGCUGGCCAUGAGCACUCAGUGAACACUUGCAGUACAGUGAGUGAUGUCCUUGACAAGUUACUAUGAAGACUCUGAGAAAAAGUAACAUCCCCCACUGUCCUCAACAAGCCUGUAAUCCCAUGGCUGCCAGCCCUUACCAUGCAACAACACUGCGCUAAGUGCAUCGAACCACACAAAACCCUGUGAGAAAAUACUGCUUCCCACUUCACACGUGAAGUAACUGAGUCUAGUUUUAGAAAUACCUAAACGAAGAGGGACAGGCACAACAAAUUUGCUGGAAUGUAAAGAAAGUAGAUCAGUUUCUGCGUAAGCAGUAAGAAAUGGCCUCAUGAGGAAGAAAGGGACAUUUGCCCUGACAUUUCUCAAAGACUGCUUAGGUUUUGGAGACAGAGAUCCAAGGGCAGGCAAGCACAAUGGUUCAUGCCUGUAAUUCCAGCACUUUGAGAGGCCAAGGUGGGAGGAUUGCUUGAGCCCAGGAAUUCAAGAUUAGCCUGUGCAACACAGCAAGACCCCAUCUCUAUUUUAAAAAGAGAGAGAGAGAUCCAAAAGCAAAGGCAUUUCAGUUUGCAAGGCCAGCAUGGGAGAGGGUCUUAAAACAGAAACACACAAGGUAAGAUUGGGGGAUGGUACCUAGACCAGCCUAGGAUCAUAGGAUUUGAUAAAAUAUGCAUUUGGAAAACUGGUGCUAAUUUAUAGAGACUUAGAAUUUCAGGCUAAGGACAAGGACUAAGAAACGAAUAGCAUGAACAGUAUUAUUGAUAAACCCAUCAUUGCAUCUUAAAGGCUCUGAAGUCUUUAGUAUUGAAUUAAAAAAUAAUUUUCACUGGACAAAACCAAAAGGUCUUUACACAACUGUCAAGCACUUUGAAAUGAUUCAGCAAAAAGCAGAAUAAAUCACUAGUGGAAUUUCAAUAGCAUGUAGUUGUAAACCAUCAUGUGUCCAGCAAAAUCACAAAACAAGAGUUUAUUUUAGAAGGGACUUAGGGAUAUUAAGAAAUAUAACAUACAAAAUAACUAAAGUUUUCUCCAAGCAAAACCAAUGAUCCUUUAGGGAUGAACAGAAAGAAAACAAGAAAUGCUUCUUUCAAAAGUUGCUACCAAGGCUUCUAAGAUUUCUUUGGAAUAAAGUCACUAAGAUUUGCUUCUGAGGUCAAUCUUGCCAACUUUUCCACCAUGCUUUUUAGGAAGGAACACCAGGUAGGGCUCAAGUACUGGUUUGGCUCCUGUCCCAUUUUUUGGUCCUUUUGUAACUCCCUUUACUCAACUCCAAGUAUGUCUGUGCACGGACAAUGAGACGAAAGCAUGCUCAAUGCGAAAGCACAAAUUAUGUAUUGAGAAAUCACUACAAUGCCAAAUUUUUUUAAAAUAAAAAAAAAAUAUAUAUAUAUAUAUAUAUCUUUAAGAACUCGCUGUGUUAGGGAAACUGUUUACAUAUUGAGGUGUUCCUCUUUUUUUGACUGGAACAAUAAAAGAAAAAUUUGAUAAAAAAAA
rnacentral:lncRNA from 1 species